rnacentral:rRNA from 1 species
UACGGGGGGGGCAAGCGUUGUUCGGAAUUACUGGGCGUAAAGAGCGCGCAGGCGGUCGCUCAAGUCGCGUGUGAAAGCCCCCGGCUCAACUGGGGAGGGUCACGCGAUACUGAUCGACUGGAAGGCAGGAGAGGGUAGUGGAAUUCCCGGUGUAGUGGUGAAAUGCGUAGAUAUCGGGAGGAACACCAGUGGCGAAGGCGGCUUGCCAGAACGCGCUCGACGGGUGAGGGAUGAAAGCUGGGGGAGCAAACCG